rnacentral:rRNA from 1 species
ACACCGGCAGCUCAAGUGGUAGCCGCUUUUAUUGGGCCUAAAGCGUCCGUAGCCGGUCUGAUAAGUCUCUGGUGAAAUCCCACAGCUUAACUGUGGGAAUUGCUGGAGAUACUAUCAUGACUCGAGGUCGGGAGAGGCUGGAGGUACUCCCAGGGGAGGGGUGAAAUCCUGUAAUCCUGGGAGGACCACCUGUGGCGAAGGCGUCCAGCUGGAACGAACCUGACGGUGAGGGACGAAAGCCAGGGGCGCGAACCGGAUUAGAUACCCGGGUAGUCCUGGCCGUAAACGAUGUGGACUUGGUGUUGGGAUGGCUUCGAGCUGCCCCAGUGCCGAAGGGAAGCUGUUAAGUCCACCGCCUGGGAAGUACGGCCGCAAGGCUGAAACUUAAAUGAAUUGGCGGGG